UAGGUGACCAGCGUUGUCCGGAAUUACUGGGCGUAAAGAGCGCGCAGGCUGGCGUUCAAGUCGAGGGUGAAAGCCACCGGCUCAACUGGGGAGGGUCACUCGAUACUGAUCGACUUGAAGGCAGGAGAGGGAAGCGGAAUUCCCGGUGUAGUGGUGAAAUGCGUAGAUAUCGGGAGGAACACCAGUGGCGAAGGCGGCUUCCUGGCCUGUUCUUGACGCUGAGGCGCGAAAGCUAGGGGAGCAAACGGG
rnacentral:rRNA from 1 species